GAUGAACGCUGGCGGCGUGCCUAAUACAUGCAAGUCGAGCGAACGGACGAGAAGCUUGCUUCUCUGAUGUUAGCGGCGGACGGGUGAGUAACACGUGGAUAACCUACCUAUAAGACUGGGAUAACUUCGGGAAACCGGAGCUAAUACCGGAUAAUAUUUUGAACCGCAUGGUUCAAAAGUGAAAGACGGUCUUGCUGUCACAUAUAGAUGGAUCCGCGCUGCAUUAGCUAGUUGGUAAGGUAACGGCUUACCAAGGCAACGAUGCAUAGCCGACCUGAGAGGUGGAUCGGCCACACUGGAACUGAGACACGGUCCAGACUCCUACGGGAGGCAGCAGUAGGGAAUCUUCCGCAAUGGGCGAAAGCCUGACGGAGCAACGCCGCGUGAGUGAUGAAGGUCUUCGGAUCGUAAAACUCUGUUAUUAGGGAAGAACAUAUGUGUAAGUAACUGUGCACAUCUUGACGGUACCUAAUCAGAAAGCCACGGCUAACUACGUG
rnacentral:rRNA from 1 species